AUGUCUUACAUGAUGGCCGCCGGCUUUUGGGUGGCUGUAGGGGCAGCGGCGAUCCUCGGGAAGCACAGGUCGCCGGCAGGACGUCAGCAGGAACAGCUUCUAAACCGGGAACUAGAAUCAAAGAAGGAACUGUAUGAACUAAUCCGCGGUGGGCCAAGGACAGACAUGGGGCUGGGACGAUCCUCGAGAAGCAAAGGUCGUCAACCCAGUAAUCUGGAACGGAUUAAGCUGAAGGCAGAUUUGAAGAUGAAACAAUUAUUUGAACAACUUCGCCAAGCAGAGGCCAACCCGGUGCUCAAGGACCCGGCAACUCACUGGCCGUUCGAUUAA
rnacentral:rRNA from 1 species